rnacentral:ncRNA from 1 species
UACCUGGUUGAUCCUGCCAGUAGUCAUAUGCUUGUCUCAAAGAUUAAGCCAUGCAUGUCUAAGUUUAAACAAACAAACAGUGAAACUGCGAAUGGCUCAUUAAAUCAGUUAUAAUCUAUUCGACGUCCUAAUUUUUAAUUACUACUCGGAUAACCGUGGUAAUUCUAGAGCUAAUACGUGCCUUGAAAGUCCUGACCUUUACUGGGAGGGAUGCAGUUAUUAGAUACAGAACCAAUUGGGGCAACCCAUUUUUUGGUGAUUCAUGAUAACCUUGCAGAUCGCAUGGCCUUAGUGCUGGCGAUGGGUCGUUCGAAUUUCUGCCCUAUCAACUUUUGACGGUAGGAUAGAGGCCUACCGUGGUGAUAACGGGUAACGGGGAAUUAGGGUUCGAUUCCGGAGAGGGAGCCUGAGAAACGGCUACCACAUCCAAGGAAGGCAGCAGGCGCGCAAAAUUACCCAAUCCUGACACAGGAGGUAGUGACAAUAAAUAACGAUGCGGGACUUUUUAGUCUUCGCAAUUGGAAUGAGUACAAUUUAAAUCCCUUAACGAGGAACAAUUGGAGGGCAAGUCUGGUGCCAGCAGCCGCGGUAAUUCCAGCUCCAAUAGCGUAUAUUAAAGUUGUUGCAGUUAAAACGCCCGUAGUUGAAUUUCAGAGCCUUUUUGUAGUCUGCUACUUGGCCUUUUCGGCGAGUAUGUCUGGGCUACGGGUUCUUUAUUUUGUUUGGUGCCCAAUGCUUCUUGUUCUGCAAGCGGUGUUGGUUUUGUGCCAAGCACUUUUACUUUGAAAAAAUUAGAGUGUUCAAAGCAGGCUGUUUACAGCUUGAAUAUCUUAGCAUGGAAUAAUAGAAUAGGACUUAGUUCUAUUUUGUUGGUUUCUAGGACUAGAGUAAUGAUUAAUAGGGAUAGUUGGGGCAUUAGUAUUUGAUUGUCAGAGGUGAAAUUCUUAGAUUUAGCAACGACUGACUUCUGCGAAGGCAUUUGCCAAGGAUGUUUUCAUUAAUCAAGGACGAAAGUUAGGGGAUCGAAGAUGAUUAGAUACCAUCGUAGUCCUAACCAUAAACGAUGCCGACCAGGGAUUAGAU